rnacentral:precursor_RNA from 16 species
CUGCAAACACUGACCAUGGGCUGAGUGUUGUCUUUGGUUAUCUAGCUGUAUGAGAGUCUUUUGUCACCAUAAAGCUAGGUAACCAAAACAACAACCAUUCCCCCUAGCAACCCGAGGACAA